rnacentral:rRNA from 1 species
CCUCUGAUACCAGCCUGUGGCUAUACCACCAGGGCUAUGGCCUUGUCUGCUCUCAGAAGCUAAGCAGGCUUGGGGCUGGGGGGCAUUUGAUGGGAGAUGCUCUAGAGCCCAAGCUGCAUGAGGU